CAUUGCUUACAUUUGCAUAUGCCGCAGAACUUAUUUCUGGGUUCCAUGAAACUGCUGCCUACACAGCCAAUCUGCCACUUCUUCUGGCAGAGGCCUCUGUGCACAAGUGUGCACACCACACACAUACAGGGCAGGGCUGGCCACGCUUUUCCACAAAUCCAGUUUCCGAAGAAGAAUAAUGAGAUGCUCCACGGUCCCCUCAGAAGAAGGGUUGCUAAAAAGCAACAAGACUCUAGUGAGUGAAGUCUCUGAGCUGGUUCUGAUCUCUGGGAAGGCGAAUGUGGAUGAAAGCAUCAAUUUUGCAGCAGCCAUGGCUUGUCCCAUGAGAGAUGAUUCUACCACAAGAACCCAACCACAAGGACGGCUCCUCUUUGAAGUUUUUACAGUCGAUCUCUGGAUCAGCCAGCGAAGUCCUGCUCCCAGGAUCCAGGGAGAGACCGUACUUGUGAAGACAUCGUCUCUUUUGUUCAAAAAUGCUCUAUGGUAAAGAGAGGGAAAACUAUUAUCUAUCUCUAACUUCAAUGAAAAGAAACAAGGAUUCAGAACAGAAUGUAUCAGAACUGAACUGUGGGUUUGGAUAAUUACUUUCUGGCUGUGAUGUUGGGGUAAGUUAUCUCUUGGGGUAAAAGAAAAGUCUCUAAGCUUCAAAUUCCAUCAGCUGUUAAGUAAGAUAAUAUCCACUCCAUGGAGUUAUCAUAGGGAUUGGGGUUGUCCCUUGCCUUGCGUCGGAUAAUUUGACUGGUACACAGUUCCUUAUGAUGAUUUCAACUUUUCCUAACUGAGAAGAGUGACUCCCUGUGCCUAUACACAAUGUGGUUUUACACUGAACACCUGCUUUCCUUCUGGGAGUCUGAACUGGUUACAUGUUAGGCAGAGGGUGCUUAUGUGACCAGCUCCCCAUAAAAACCUUGGGCUUUUCUAAUGAGAACCUUGACUUAUCUAAUGGGCAUCCCUGGGCAGAAUCAGCAGAUGCUUGUUGCUGGAGAAAGAAGCAUGCUCUUGGGUGUCCCCUCGCAGGAGGGAGAAAGCAUGAGGAAGCCUGCACCUUGGUUUCUCAGGACUCCACCAUGGCUUUUUCUCUUACAGUCUGGCUGUAUAUCAUUACUAUGUUGCUGGAAGGAAUCUGAG
rnacentral:lncRNA from 1 species